AACGCACGAGACCUGCGGACCUGCGGAGGGAUCAUUAUCGAGUUUACAACUCCCAAACCAUUGUGAAUCUUACCUUUUCGUUGCUUCGGCGGGAUCGCCCCGGGCGCUUCGGUGCCCCGGAUUCAGGCGCCCGCCGGGGGACCUAAACUCUUGUAUUAUAGUGGAUUUCUGAGUGGAUUACACAAAUAAUCAAAACUUUUAGCAAUGGAUCUCU
rnacentral:misc_RNA from 1 species